GACGAACGCUGGCGGCGUGCUUAACACAUGCAAGUCGAACGGGCCUUGUCCCCUUUUUUUUGGGGGUGGGGUUAGUGGCGAACGGGUGAGUAACACGUGAGUAACCUGCCCCUCACUUCUGGAUAACCGCUUGAAAGGGUGGCUAAUACGGGGUGUUCUGGCCUGCUCGCAUGGGUGGGUUUGGAAAGAUUCGACCGGUUUUGGUUGUUUUGGUGGGGGAUGGGCUCGCGGCCUAUCAGCUUGUUGGUGGGGUGAUGGCCUGCCAAGGCUUUGACGGGUAGCCGGCCUGAGAGGGUGGGCGGGCACACUGGGACUGAGACACGGCCCAGACUCCUACGGGAGGCAGCAGUGGGGAAUAUUGCACAAUGGGCGCAAGCCUGAUGCAGCGACGCCGCGUGAGGGAUGGAGGCCUUCGGGUUGUGAACCUCUUUCGCCAGUGAAGAAGGUCCUGCUCUUUGUGGUGGGGUUGACGGUAGCUGGGUUAAUGAAGCGCCGGCUAACUACGUG
rnacentral:rRNA from 1 species